GGAACACCAGUGGCGGAGACGGUUCCCUGGGGCACACCGGACGCUGAGAGACGAAAGCUAGGGGAGCGAACAGGAUUAGAGACCCUGGUAGUCCUAGCCCUAAACGAUGAAUGCUAGGUGUGGGAUCGAAUGGUUCCGUGCCGGAGCGAACGCGAUAAGCAUUCCGCCUGGGGAGUACGGCCGCAAGGUUAAAACUCAAACGAAUUGACGGGGCCCCGCACAAGCAGCGGAGCGUGUGGUUUAAUUCGAUGCUACACGAAGAACCUUACCUGGGUUUGACAUGUAGGUGGUAGUGAAUCGAAAGGUGAACGACCCUUCGGGGAGCCUACACAGGUGCUGCAUGGCUGUCGUCAGCUCGUGCCGUGAGGUGUCGGGUUAAGUCCCGUAACGAGCGCAACCCUUGCUCCUAGUUACAAGUGUCUAGGGGGACUGCCGGCGGAAAGCCGGAGGAAGGUGGGGAUGACGUCAAGUCAGCAUGGCCCUUAUAUCCAGGGCUACACACACGCUACAAUGGUCGGUACAAAGGGCAGCGAAACCGCGAGGCGGAGCGAAUCCGAGAAAAGCCGAUCGUAGUUCGGAUAGCAGGCUGCAACCCGCCUGCUUGAAGCUGGAGUUGCUAGUAACCGCGCGUCAGCCAUAGCGCGGUGAUACGUUCCCGGGGCUUGUACACACCGCCCGUCACGUCAUGGGAGUCGGUAACGCCUGAAGCCG
rnacentral:rRNA from 1 species